UGCAGUACACCAAUACCGUUGCUGAGUGUUUGGGGUAGAAAAACACAAAAGGAAAGUGAGUUCUGUGCAGCUAACUGAUUGCAACGACAUUUGAAAGCUAUAUGUGCCUACAAAGAGGGGGCAAAACAGAAUGUCACAAAGUUAUUACGUCAAACUGUAUGACAAGGCAUAGUUGUUGUUGUCGGCUACGGUUGUUCUGGCGUCGCAUGAGGAGACAAAGUAUUGCUAAACAGGCAUAAAGGCCACUAAAGAAAUUGGUUGACACGUGUCUGCUUUCAGAUUUAUGCCAAUCAAUAAGGGUACAGACUAAAUCUGGCACUGCGUCUCCCCAAAAGGAUAGUCGACAUUCCAAAACUUCUCACGUAGAAAGGAACGAAUUUUCGCGAUUGGUUGCGAUCCACUCGAUACUGUCAUAAUACGUCAAUAUUGACAGGGGCGCGCAACUCCGUGGCUAGCCAUAAUAGAUCGUGUCAAAUGACUGCAAGAAGUACAUUGGUAUAAUUGAUAAUUGACACCACUUCAAUGGAACGCGGCGGUGAGCUCGCGUCUUCCAAGCUAGUCCAGUCGACAAGGUCGCAACCCAACAUUUCAGUUGUAUGUCGCUGUGUAUGUGCUAAAGAUAAAUCAAGCAAACAAGCCGUCUAACUUAGGGACCAACGCAGGUUUACAAAAUAUUGUAACGUGAU